UGAGAGGUGAGUUGGGAGGAAGUAGAGAGGAGAGAUUGCUGGAACUGAGGGCUGAGGAAGUAAUAAGAUAUUGAUAAGACUACAGAAGGCAGAGAGAGGUUCCCUGUAUAAAUCACAUGACCAUAUCAAUGAAGAUGGAUGGUGACCAAAGUCGUGUGGGUAAGAGGAUAUUAGACCUCGCCCUGGAGAUCGUCUAUCUGCUGAUAGGAGAGGAUUAUGAAGUAGUGAGGAAAACAUCCGAUAAGCCAUUGACACCCAGGAGCCGUCUUCACAGGACAUCACCCUACACAGUGCCUUCCUCUCUCUGCCUGACAACAGAGGUAACCAGUGCCAAGAAGAUUCUAGAAGUCACCAAGAAGAUCGCUGGGCUGCUGACAGGAGAGGUGAGCGGUGCCGG